rnacentral:rRNA from 1 species
CGGUCCUUGACAUACUAAGAACUUUCCAGAGAUGGAUUGGUGCCUUCGGGAACUUAGAUACAGGUGCUGCAUGGCUGUCGUCAGCUCGUGUCGUGAGAUGUUGGGUUAAGUCCCGCAACGAGCGCAACCCUUUUCCUUAUUUGCCAGCGGGUCAUGCCGGGAACUUUAAGGAUACUGCCAGUGACAAACUGGAGGAAGGCGGGGACGACGUCAAGUCAUCAUGGCCCUUACGGCCAGGGCUACACACGUGCUACAAUGGUCGGUACAAAGGGUUGCUACCUCGCGAGAGGAUGCUAAUCUCAAAAAGCCGAUCGUAGUCCGGAUCGCAGUCUGCAACUCGACUGCGUGAAGUCGGAAUCGCUAGUAAUCGCGGAUCAGAAUGCCGCGGUGAAUACGUUCCCGGGCCUUGUACACACCGCCCGUCACACCAUGGGAGUUUGUUGCACCAGAAGUAGGUAGUCUAACCGCAAGGAGGACGCUUACCACGGUGUGGCCGAUGACUGGGGUGAAGUCGUAACAAGGUAAGCGUAGAUGA